AGUGAACGCUGGCGGUAGGCCUAACACAUGCAAGUCGAACGGCAGCACAGUAAGAGCUUGCUCUUACGGGUGGCGAGUGGCGGACGGGUGAGGAAUACAUCGGAAUCUACUUUUUCGUGGGGGAUAACGUAGGGAAACUGACGCUAAUACCGCAUACGACCUACGGGUGAAAGCAGGGGAUCUUCGGACCUUGCGCGAUUGAAUGAGCCGAUGUCGGAUUAGCUAGUUGGCGGGGUAAAGGCCCACCAAGGCGACGAUCCGUAGCUGGUCUGAGAGGAUGAUCAGCCACCCUGGACCUGAGCCACGGUCCAGACUCCUACGGGAGGCAGCAGUGGGGAAUAUUGGACAAUGGGCGCAAGCCUGAUCCAGCCAUCCCGCGUGGGUGAAGAAGGCCUUCGGGUUGUAAAGCCCUUUUGUUGGGAAAGAAAAGCAGCAGGUUAAUACCCCGCUGUUCUGACGGUACCCAAAGAAUAAGCACCGGCUAACUUCGUG
rnacentral:rRNA from 1 species